rnacentral:rRNA from 1 species
ACGGAGUUAGCCGGGGUUUCUUUACCAGGUACUGUCAUUAUCAUCCCUGGCGAAAGAGCUUUACGACCCUAAGGCCUUCAUCACUCACGCGGCAUGGCUGGAUCAGGCUUGCGCCCAUUGUCCAAGAUUCCCC